rnacentral:hammerhead_ribozyme from 1 species
AGGCGAAACAAGGGGCUGCGGCUCCUUGUCCGGGCAGUGUGGCGACUGCCCGCUGAUGAGCCAGCCCCGC